rnacentral:rRNA from 1 species
AUUGAACGCUGGCGGCAGGCUUAACACAUGCAAGUCGAGCGGGGUGAUGGUGCUUGCACUAUCACUUAGCGGCGGACGGGUGAGUAAUGCUUAGGAAUCUGCCUAUUAGUGGGGGACAACAUCUCGAAAGGGAUGCUAAUACCGCAUACGUCCUACGGGAGAAAGCAGGGGAUCACUUGUGACCUUGCGCUAAUAGAUGAGCCUAAGUCGGAUUAGCCAGUUGGUGGGGUAAAGGCCUACCAAGGCGACGAUCUGUAGCGGGUCUGAGAGGAUGAUCCGCCACACUGGGACUGAGACCCGGCCCAGACUCCUACGGGAGGCAGCAGUGGGGAAGAUUGGACAAUGGGGGGAACCCUGAUCCAGCCAUGCCGCGUGUGUGAAGAAGGCCUUAUGGUUGUAAAGCACUUUAAGCGAGGAGGAGGCUCUUUUGGUUAAUACCCAAGAUGAGUGGACGUUACUCGCAGAAUAAGCACCGGCUAACUCUGUGCCAGCAGCCGCCGUAA